AAUUAUACUGAGAACUUCUAUAAAAAUUAUAGAACUUUUUAUGCUAAAACUAGUAACAAGAGGUAAUCCCUCUCUACAAUGUAGGUAUACGCCAGCAAGAACCCACCACUGACAACUAACAGACCUAAAUAAAAGUAGUAACCUCCCAAGAAAAUCCUACUCCACCCAACUGUUAACCUAAUACCAGAACACUUCAAGAAAGAUUAAAAGAAAGAGAAGGAAUUCGGCAAAUAUUAGUCCCGCCUGUUUACCAAAAACACCGCCUCUUGGCCCCCCAUAAGAGGUCUAGCCUGCCCAGUGACUUCUGUUCAACGGCCGCGGUAUCCUAACCGUGCAAAGGUAGCGUAAUCACUUGUCUUCUAAAUAAAGACCAGUAUGAAAGGCAUCACGAGGACUAAACUGUCUCCUCUCCCUAAUCAGUGAACCUAAUAACCCCGUGAAGAAGCGGGGAUUUUUAUAUAAGACGAGAAGACCCUAUGGAGCUUAAAACAUCAUAACACCUGCCACACACCUAUUUACCCCGGUUCUCCUCCCCGUGACACCCUGAUUAUAUGUUUUUGGUUGGGGUGACCGCGGAGAAAAACCCAUCCUCCACAAUGAAAGGGACUUCCCUAAACAGUAGGCCACAG
rnacentral:rRNA from 1 species